GGCGAACGCUGGCGGCGUGCCUAAUACAUGCAAGUAGAACGCUGAAGAGAGGAGCUUACUCUUCUUGGAUGAGUUGCGAACGGGUGAGUAACGCGUAGGUAACCUGCCUUGUAGCGGGGGAUAACUAUUGGAAACGAUAGCUAAUACCGCAUAACAAUGGAUGACACAUGUCAUUUAUUUGAAAGGGGCAAUUGCUCCACUACAAGAUGGACCUGCGUUGUAUUAGCUAGUAGGUGAGGUAAUGGCUCACCUAGGCGACGAUACAUAGCCGACCUGAGAGGGUGAUCGGCCACACUGGGACUGAGACACGGCCCAGACUCCUACGGGAGGCAGCAGUAGGGAAUCUUCGGCAAUGGGGGCAACCCUGACCGAGCAACGCCGCGUGAGUGAAGAAGGUUGUCGGAUCGUAAAGCUCUGUUGUAAGUCAAGAACGGGUGUGAGAGUGGAAAGUUCACACUGUGACGGUAGCUUACCAGAAAGGGACGGCUAACUACGUG
rnacentral:rRNA from 1 species